UACAGAGGUCUCAACCGUUGUUCGGAUUCAUUGGGCGUAAAGGGUGCGUAGGCGGUCGGGUAAGUCGGAUGUGAAAUCUCAGGGCUCAACCCUGAAACUGCAUUCGAUACUGCCUGGCUAGGGUACUGGAGAGGAGACUGGCAUUUACGGUGUAGCAGUGAAAUGCGUAGAUAUCGUAAGGAAGACCAGUGGCGAAGGCGAGUCUCUGGACAGUUACCGACGCUGAGGCACGAAGGUCAGGGGAGCAAACGGG
rnacentral:rRNA from 1 species